GAUACGGCUCGGUAGGUGUCGAUAAGUUGUUCGCUGACAGAGAAUUGCCGACGAACGGGUGAGCGGACGGUCGGCGACGGACGCCGUAGCGACGCGCGCACGCGUUUGCGCGUACUGCAGGGGAUCUCGGGGACGAGCCACGAAAGCGCCGGUAACGGUUACGGCGACGACGGGGAACGACCGCGCACGGCCUCGUAGAGCGAGAGCGCCGCGAUUCGACCGUCGGGCGUGGCGCGACGCGAACGCGCGACCGUGCCACGACGACGGCUACGCGCGGUGGUUCCUCGUUACAGCCCGGGAGCCGCCCUACCGCCGACGGCGCGAGAGACGACCCUCGGUUCUCGCGACCCGGAAGAACAGCGGCGCUCGUACGAGUCCUAACGACUGCGAAUCUGGUUAACGAACAAAGGAAGGAAGGAGAACGGAAAGCCUUACGAGCGCGAACGUUAAGCGUAGUGCUACGACGUCGCCGCCCAAGCGAGAGGAAGACGGGUAAGAGGCGGAUCCAAAAACUGAAAAACCCCCAAAACCGAAAACAGUUUAAGUAGAGCGAUAAAGACGUGAAAUAAACGA